rnacentral:lncRNA from 1 species
AACUCACAAACCUCUUUGUGUUUUUUUCAGGUUUUGAAGAGCGAGCUAUAAGCUAUAUCGUUUUGCUUUGGAAAGACACUGGAUUUAGAACCAGCUGCAGUCCUUUAACAACCUCUCUGACCCUCAUUAUCCAUGUGGCCUUUGGCAACCUCUGUGAGCCUCAGUUUUCUUGUCUUCCCCCGCUAUGGGGAUGUCAGAGGCAACUCCAGGCGGUAACACACUGGAAAAUGCUGCAAGUCCACAGUACUGGGUGGAGAGAAAUUUAUUGUUAUUAUUGUUGUUCUCUUUCACCCCAAAUGGACAGCUUGAUCUUUCCCUUAGGGAAACGCUUUCAAAUAAAGUGAUUAUGUUUUGGAGACCUAGCAAAAUGGAUUUGGAUAACUUCCAUCAGGAGGGAGGAAGAGAGCCGGUGGCCUUUUGUUAUGAGACCACAGGUAACCAAAUGUUUGAAGGAAGGCGCCACGGAAGCCCCCUACCCCGCACACAGCUCUGGU